ACGUAGGGGGCAAGCGUUGUCCGGAAUCAUUGGGCGUAAAGAGCGUGUAGGCGGCCCGAUAAGUCUGCCGUGAAAGUCCAGGGCUCAACCCUGGAAUGCCGGUGGAAACUGUCGGGCUGGAGUCCGGAAGAGGCGAGUGGAAUUCCUGGUGUAGCGGUGAAAUGCGCAGAUAUCAGGAGGAACACCAAUGGCGAAGGCAGCUCGCUGGGACGGUACUGACGCUGAGACGCGAAAGCGUGGGGAGCAAACAGG
rnacentral:rRNA from 1 species